ensembl:lncRNA
CAGCCCCACUGUUAUCUGAUCCCCUGUUUUGGAGCCACUGUCGCAGCCAACAUAUCAUGGCAGCUUUAAGACUUAUAUGGCUUGGCAUUUUAUCAAAAUACAUCCUUGUUGAAUGUCAAAACAAAUGCGAAGAUACAGGUAAAGUAUACAUUUUAAUGUUAAUGAAAAAACAUGGAAUGAUGAAUAGAUUACGUUUUUGGUAAGCAUGGCAAGAAUUAUUACCUUAGUUCAACACUUGCAAAAUAUAAAUAUAAGUUUACUGCAUUGUGAAUGCAAUUUGUUUUUUAAAGGUAACUUUGUCGAGAUCCCUUAUUGAAAGCUUGUCUACGCAGGGUCUGAGUCACGUCUCAGAAAAAGAAGUUGUGUAUCCAUUUACAAAACCUUUCAAAAGUAUUCACACCCAUUUGACAUAUUAUUGUGUUUCAACGUGAUAUAAAAAUUAAUUAUAUUAGGAGUUAUUGCCACUGAUCAACACAAAAAGUCCAUUAUCUCAAAUUGAAAAAUAAAACCUGUAAAUUGUGAAUCCUUUUGAAAGGCACUGUAACAGCCUUUAAACAGUACAUCAAUGUUGUAUGGUCAUAUAAAGUGUACUUUUAUAGCUAUGUAUGUGAAAAAACAACCUAUUAAGCUUGGUAUCAAUAUUAGGCUAUGACACUGUGUACAAUGCACUUAUAAAACAAAAAUGGUAUUCUUAAUAAUUAGCAUACUAAUCCUUAAGGCUUUAUACUUCAUUCAAUUAAAACUUAAUGGUGGCCUCUUACUGAGUCAUUUGUUAUAUUUAGAGAUGUACCCUGCAAAGCCCUCUGGACCAUCUAAUGUGACUGAAGGGACCACAAUACAUUUCAAGUGUCAAACUAAUAGCAUCACUAUAAGCGGGGACAUGGUUCAUUUUUACCUUUGCAAGGAUGGAGUUGGGAUACAAAUGGCACCAAUGAAGAAAGGUGCUGAAUCUAUUUUCUUGUUAAAAGAAGUAAAAAAACAAGACUCGGGCAAGUACAGCUGUGUGUACAGCAAAUGUAAACACCCAGUCAGUCAAGUGAAGUCAACAGGGGAUUAUCUGGUCUUAUGGGUCAACAGAGACGAAGAUGUGGAAGAGAUAUGUAGUGACCAUAGACCAAGUGAGAUUCAGGAUAUGGGUCAAACCUACAGUGGAAUCUCUUCUGUACCAGGUAUGCUAUAUCAUGAGAUCCCUCUUGAUGUUGAAGAAGCAGCCUAUUCUGUGAUAGAUAAUUGGAGAGGUAUGGUGUGUCUAAAAGUAUGUAUAAGAAGUUACAUACUGUAACUUCUUAAAAAAAACGUAAAAAACAUAAUGUAUAAGAAAUAUGCAAAAAGGUCCAUAAUUCAUGAUAUAUUAUUAUGAAAUAACAUUAUUUCAAAACAGGAUUGAGACCAUCACUUACACAAAGGUAAGACAUACAUUGUUUCAUUUUUUUAUGACUGAAUCUUUCACUGUUAGUUGUUUGGACGGCAAUUACUGUGACCAACACAAAGGAGGCUUAAGUGUUGUGUGUCACAGGAUUGGAAGCACUAUCAGAAAAGGUUGAAAUCACCAUUCUCUUUUUAUUCCAAAAUAAUUAGAUACAUUCUGAUUUGAAAUUGUUUCUUCACACUAAAGCUUAUAAUCACCAAUAUUUUAAUUCUCUUGAGUGCAGUGUUAGAUCACUUGUUCUAGAGUAGUGUAAUAAUUAACAUUGAUUUGUGUAUCUAAUAAGUUGCCAGCUGUUUUUAUUUAACAGUCAUUGUUGAGCUCCUUUACAAAAUGUAACUUACAAAGAAACCGUUGUACAAACCCGAUUCCAAAAAAGUUGGGACAAUGUACAAAUUGUGAGUAAAAAAGGAAUGGAAUAAUUUACAAAUCUCAUAAACUUUAUAAAUAUUUAAUUCACAAUAGAAUAUAGAUAACAUAUCGAAUGUUGAAAGUGAGACAUUUUGUAAUGUCAUGCCAAAUAUUGGCUCAUUUCGGAUUCCAUGAGAGCAACACAUUCCAAAAAAGUUGGGACAGGUAGCAAUAAGAGGCCGGAAAAAUUAAAUGUACAGAUAAGGAAUAGCUGGAGGACCAAUUUGCAACUUAUUAUGUCAAUUGGCAACAUGAUUGGGUGUAAAAAGACACCGGAAGUAAGGGAUGC